rnacentral:misc_RNA from 1 species
CAGAGUUCAUGCCCGAAAGGGUAGACCUCCCACCCUUGUGUAUUAUUACUUUGUUGCUUUGGCGAGCUGCCUGCGGGCCUUGAGCUUUCGAGUUCGAGCAUGCUCGCCAGAGGAUAUCAAAACUCUUUUUAUUCAUGUCGUCUGAGUACUAUAUAAUAGUUA